CUCCCAAUAGCUCAGUUGGUAAAGCACUCGUAGGCGAGAUUGGCUCUAAAACGAGAGGUCGCGGGUUCGAUUCCUGCUGGGAGC
rnacentral:tRNA from 1 species